CCCGAAUGCUGUCACCCACCUUUGGGUGCACACGAGGCACCACCGACACCCGGCGCUGGCGGCCGGCCAGAGCUGUGUCAAUCUGCAUAUUAAAUAUGUCCCAUCUGCAUAUUAAGGACGAUUUCCUAUUUAGGAGGCGUCUCGCUUCGCGCCGAAAAUAAACCCCCACGGUGGGCACCGGGUGGGUGGCACCAUGGGGUGCUGAGGCUGAACCCCCCCCCCCCCCCCCCAGUGCCCCCACCCCACAGCAGCGCAGCGUCCCUCAUCCCUUGUCCCAUGCAUGCGUUCCCUGCACAGGCAUGAAGCUCCCCUCAAGGCAAAUGCCCCCCCCUUGUACCCAAAGGCACACACAUAUCCCACGUGUCCCCUUCCAUCCCCUUUAUUCCCAAAGGGCCACAACCCUUCUGCUUCCUCCUGUCCCUUCAACUGUCCCACUUGUCCCCAAAAGGUCCUCACAUCUACUUGGUCCCCUUGACCCCAAAGUCAUACAACCCCCACUUGUCGUCCCCCCAUAUCCCCCUGGUUGAAUCCCCCCACUGCCCCCAGCCUGGUGGCCCUGUGACCAUGGAGAAGUGCAACCUGGGGAUGGGAUCUGCCUUUGGCAAUGGGACCCCAUGGCAACCAGCAUGCAGAGCCUCAGAGCUGAACGGGCACCCUAAAAUACCAAACCCAUGUUUAACCCCAGCUCCAAGUGGGCACCCCACAAUAACACAUCCAUGUGUCAGGACCCAGCUCCAAAUGGACACCCUACAAUACCAACCCCAUGUGUUAGGAUCCAGUUCCAAGAGGGCACCUUACAAUAACAUACCCAUGUUUAACCCCAGCUCCAACUGGGCACCCUACAAUACCCACCCCAUGUGUUAGGAUCCAGCUCCAAAUGGGUACCCUACCAUAAUAACCCCAUGUUUAACCCCAGCUCUAAGUGGGCACCCUACAAUACCAACCCCACGUUUAACCCCAGCACCAAGCAGCAUCCCUACAAUAACCCCUCUGUUCCCACCAACUGCUCCAGGUGCCAACCCUACACCAACAAAGCACAGCCCUACCGUGACGAGGCCACCCCACAGCGCUGCUUUGGGGGAUGUAAACGCAAUGUUUAAGAGCAACCCUACAAAAACAAAGCAGCAACAAAAGUCACCCCAGCCACGAGAAAGCAGCAAACCUGCAGGUCCCGGCAGGACAGGAGGAGGUGGGGGAUGGGGGUGGGGGGGCAGCUCAGCCCAUCCGCUGUCUCAUUUUUCUUUAAGCCUUAAGAAAAGUUUAUUUAUUGUUGUUGUUUUGAUUUCCUCUUUAGUCUCCCCCGCAUCUCCGUGGUGCCGGGAUGCGCUCGGCUGCUUCGCUCUGCUUGGGAAAAUGUUACCUUUAAUUGCUCCAAGCUCGGGCACCCAGCGCCUCGGUUUGAAAUUUCUAUGCUUCAACAAACUGAUCUGGAGUCAAAUAAGAUGAAAUAUCCGCUGUGUGCCCGGGGUCAGCAUGGGGAGGGAGGGCAAAGGGACCGCAGUGCCUACCCGCGCAGUCACCUUGAGGUGGUGGUGACCCCCAGGUCCCCAUGUGGGUCUUCGUUUCACAUCCCCCCUCCUCAUCUCCCUGCCCUGAGGCAUGGCAUGGAAUGGCACCGCAUGGCUCAGAAUGGCAGGGCACAGCUUACCAUGGCUCAGAACAGCAUGGCAUGGCUUACCGUGGCUCAGAAUGGCAGGGCACAGCUUACCCUGGCUCAGAAUGGCAUGGAAUGGCACUGCAUGACUCAGAAUGGCAGGGCACAGCUCAGCAUGGCUCAGAAUGGCAUGGCAUGGGUUACCAUGGCUCAGAAUGGCAUGGCAUGGGUUACCAUGGCUCAGAACAGGAGGGCACUGCUCAGCAUGACUCAGAAUGGCAUGGCACAGCUUACCAUGGCUCAGAAUGGCAUGGAAUGGCACUGCAUGACUCAGAAUGGCAGGGCACAGCUUACCAUGGCUCAGAAUGGCAUGACACAGGUCAGCAUGACUCAGACUGGCAUGACACAGCUUACCAUGGCUCAGAAUGGCAUGGCAUGGCUUACCAUGGCCCAGAAUGGCACGGCACAGCUUACGGUGGCACAGAAUGGCAUGGCAUGGCCUGACACAGCUUUACACAGCUCCAAAUGGCACAGCAUAGCUCUGAAUGGCUCAGAAUGGCAUGGUUCAGCUCAGAAUGAUGUGGUUCAGCUCAGAAUGGCACAGUUCAGGCCAGCGUGGCUCCACAUGGCACAGCACAGCUCAGAAUGGCACGGUUCAGCACAGAAUGGCACGGCACGGCUCUGCCAUGACACAGCUCAGCUUGGCUCAGAAUGGCACAACAUGGCAUAGAAUGGCACAGCACAGCUCAGCAUGGUGCAGAAUGGCACAGCACGGCACAGCACAGCUCAGAAUGGCACAGCACAGCUCAGAACGGCACAGCACAGCUCAGAAUGGCACAACAUGGCAUAGAAUGGCACAGCACAGCUCAGCACAGCCCAGAAUGGCACAGCACAGCCCAGAAUGGCACAGCACAGUUCAGCACAGCCCAGAAUGGCAGAGCUCAGCUCAGCUCAGCUCCCCAGGAGGAAUGCAUGCACCUGCUGCAACCAAGGUGUGGGCAGUGCUGUGCAAGCGCAGCCUUCACAUGGCCACCACCUCCUCCUCUUCCUCCUCCUCCUGGCAGGCUGCAGACUCGCUGCUAUGACCCGGCUCCAUCCCACUUCUGCAUUUCCUAUUACCAUCUCCAUCAGCUGAAUGAACCGCCGGAUGGCAGCCAAGGAGUGGGGAGAGCUGGGAGCCACCAUGUGUAGCCCUGACCCAUUCCAUGUGACUGAGCCCCCACAUACACCAGGACAGCCCCAUCCCCAUGAUGUGGGAUGCACCAUAGCGGAGCUGCAGCCGGGCUGGGGGCUGCAGGAUGUUGCUGGUGGGGAACAAAGGGCCAUUGUUUGCACUCUGUGCCCCCGCCUGUGCGCUCGCCGGAAGGUCAGGUGCUUCCUCACUGCCCCGAAAUAGUGCCUUGUUCUGCUGCCACGGUGGGUGGGGAUGGGGGAAGGAAAAGAGCUCUCCACCCUAAAGCUGGAUUUGAGGACACCUCUGUCGGUGCCAUCACCCAACGGGUGGGCAGUGAGGGCUGCACGAGCCCUGCUGCAAUGCUCCCAGCUGGGAGGUGACAGAGCCCCCCAGCCCCCACCUUGGGAUAUGGGGUCCCUGUCCCCUCCCCGGUGCAGAGCAGAUGUGCACUUGGAGGCAGAUGUGUUGCUAAGGGCCCAGGAGCGAGCAGAGAAGGGGGGGGGGGGGGGGGGAAGAGUAUUGAUUCGUGCUUCCGGGGGAGGAACUGUUCAAAAGCAGAGGGAGCUUUGAGGGGCUUUCAAAGGGCUGGGGAGGUGCUGUGGGGUCUGUGCAGGUGUCUGUGCAUGCACUGCUGUCACACGUGUGUGUGUGUAUGUGCAGGUGUUGGGGUGUGAGCACUGGUGUGUGCACAGCAGGCUGCUGCUUGCACGCAGGUGUCAGUGCGCGUGCAUGUGAUGGGCAGCAGGAGCCGUGUGCACAGCAGCGGGGGGGGGGGGUGUUUGCACACAGGGCCUCUGCGCGUGCACGGGUGUGGGUGGUGUGCUGGGCACGCGGGGGGAUGCACAUGGUGUAAGUGGGCGUGUGGUGCUACCAUGCGUGUGCGUGUAGGUGCGUGUACACACAGGUAUGUGCAUGCACACGUGUGCGUGCAAACAUGUGCAUGCAUGCGCAGCUGCACGCAUGUGUAUGUGCGUCUUUGUGCACACACGUGUGUGCAUGCAUGAGCAGGGUGUGUGCAUGCGUGCAUGCAUGUGCACAUGUGUGUGCAUGUACAUGGCCGCAUGCACAUGCGUGUGUGGGUACAUGCAGACAUGUGCUUGUGUGUGUGCAUGAAUAUGUGGGUGCAUGAAUGUGUGUGCAAGUUAUGGGGGGGCACGCAAUGCUCCUGUGUGUGUGUGUGCUCUGACCAAUGGCUCUGAAAUGAGCAUCAUUUUGGGGAGGGGGGGCUGCGGUGGAUCAGAUGCAUCCCCCCCCCCACACACACACACACCCCAUGCACCUCAGGAUCCUGGCUCAGCUCUGUGGGACAGCCCUCAGCCACCAGCAGCCAUGGGGCUAUUCCCAGCGCUGACCUCACACCACUGAGAUAACUCCAAAAGGUGAAAUGAAGGGUAUGGCACAGCAGGUGCCGGGCAGCUGCCGGGUUAUUUGCAGCGCAGCACUCCCUACCUGCUGCCGGGACAGGACCAGCCCACGCUGCACAGGGACAAUUCCCAUCCCAGCCUUCCCCAUCACCUUCGGAGCGCUCCCCGACCUCCCCUGCUGGGAGGUGACAAAUGGGACAGAGCUCUGCCCCGUCACCCAAACCUGAGCUGCACCCGACCUCACUGGGGCUCACUGUGGGAGCAGCACCCCGUGCCCUUCCCCAGCUCUCCCUUUCCCCCGGUGCUGCGUUUGGCACCGGAGUUGGAUGUCACCGUCCCCGUAUCGCUCAGUGCUGCUGCUCCAUGCCUCAGUUUCCCCAUCCAAGCACAAUGGUCACUCCCUGCUCUGCACACCCCCACCGCUGCCAUACCCACCGCUCUCAGCUGCUCCCCCGGGGACCACCACCACCCCAGGAUCCAUUCGGCACCAAACGCGGUGCUAUGGGCGAUACGGGCGCACCCGGCCCUGAGCUCCGCUGCCGGGUUUGAUGGGAUUAUCCCCGUGGGCAGGAUUACAAGGGGAAGAGCUGAGGAUUAGCCACGGCACAUCAGCACGCCGCAUCCACGGCCGCUGUCAGCCCCGGCGCCAGCCCAGGGCCCCCAAACCGUACUGGGAGGCAAUGGGACAGAGCGGAGACAGGCAGACCCUGAGUCCCACCGUGGGGCUGGGACCCCCUUUGGGGACUGGUGGCGGCUGCCACCUGCUGCGUAAUUAAGGGCUGCCGCUCCUGGGAGCUGCGCAAAGAGAUGAGAAGGAUCUCUCUUUUUUUUUUUUUUUUUCCUGUCAUUUGACAAAAUUGUAAUUAAAUAGGGAGUAAAAUCCCGUUAGCACAAUCCGGCCCCACUGGGAGUCUCCUCCGCUCCAGACAAUCCUUCUCCCUCUCCAUCCCAUCGCAUUAAAGGGAACCAAACCCCGGCUUGGUUCUUUAGGGGGCCGUUGCCGAGGCCUGGAGCUUCAGGGGUGCCGGGGAUGGGCAGGAGGUACCCAGACCCACCCAGCGCCUUGGGAUGAUGGGAGCAACAAAUAAACCUCCCACAUAUACCCCACCACGGAUUAAGCAGGAGGAGAGGCCGAGCACCACGCAGCAUCACAGCCCGCACCCCCAAAACAGCCCCCCAAAACACAACGACGGAGCCCCACUGCACGGCUGUGCCCACAGCCCGGCCACGGCGCGGCUCAGCCCGCUGGAAAACCACGUCCAAGCUGGCAGCUUUAAUUAAAAACCUGAGGCUGCGAGCGCGGCCAGCACUGCAGCACGGCUCUGCACUGAGCUCCGGCACCGGCGCCUUCACAGCACUCACCACAGGGAUGGAGGCACAGUGGGGAGGGGGGCACAGUAGAGCCCCCCAGGCGGCAGCGCAGCUGAGCACGGAGCGAUGCUCGCAGGACACACCGCCAGCAAAAGCAUCGCGUGCAGCUCACGCAGGGCACGGGAUGGGGAUGGUGACACCCAGGCUGGCAUGUCACCUCCCAGCCCAUGACUCGAGGUCAUAUGGUACAGCGCUGCUGAGCCCCACGGGAUGAGGGGCAGCGCACAUCCCUGCAGCCACGCAUAGCUCUGCACUGGGGACGCGUGCACCCCCGUGCCCACGCGCCCACCCCAGCCCCGUGCCCACGUUCCUGCACGGCUCUCCCCAUCCCACCACGGCCCGUUGGUAUCCGUCAGGCACGAGCCGAGCAGCUCCCGGAGCUGUCAGGGGGUAAUUUGGUAAUUUCCCUUUGUUUAUGGGAACGGCCGCGCUGAGCAAAAACAUCUCCUGCCAAGUGGCUCCCCGCACCCGGCAGGAUCAGCACCCAUAGCACAGAGGGGAGCGGAACCCCGGGAGCCCCCUCAGCCCUACAGCCUCAGGAACAACCCCCCCCCAUCCCAGGAGGACGGUGUGCAGCCCGCCCCCCCCCCCCCCCCCAUACACACCACCUCCGAACGCAGCAGCCACGUGCCCCGGUGACAGCAGUGACCCAGUUCCCACGUCACCCCGCAGCCUCCUGCACCCCUCUGCAUGGCGCUCAGCACCUCGCUCUGCCCCCCCUCUCCCCCCCCCCCCCCACACACAUCCCCCUGCACUGGGUGCAAUAGAGAUGGCAGCACUGGGGGCCACAUCCUGCACCAGAGCCCAGCAGGCUGCAAUGGACCAUGGGGUACUGGGGAAGGAGGAGGGGGGGGCAGGGGUGCCUGCUUUGUCCGCAUCUCCUUGAGCUACAGCUGCAGGAAGGUGGUGUGGGGGGUGUUGUCUACCUGCCCCCCACCCCACCCCCCCCCCAGCUGUGCUCUGGGUAGAGGGGAAAUUGAGGCAGAGGGGAUGGCACCGCUCAUCCAAGGUCACCCCGAGCCAACAGCACAGCCCGGCCCUGCUCCCCCGAGGGCACUGCCCCCCCCCACAGCCCAAACAGGGCCAGCUCCCCCCAUCCCUCCUCCAUUCCCUACUUGAUUUGGGGCAGGAGGGUGCUCAGGACCCCUCACCGCAAUUGACGUGGAUGAUGCAGGAGGAAAGGAGGCCAGGCCUGAGGAGGGGGGGUGCUGGGGGUGGGGGGGGCAUGCUGCGGGCAGGAUGCCCAUGGUGACAGCAGUGAGGGUGACAGGGCAGGAUUUGGGCCAAGCUCAGCGCAACCCACAUUAUUUUGGGGUUACAUCACCAAAAUCCAUCGCUAUAGUACAGAGUCCCCAAGGAGAUGACAGCCGCCCCCCCCCCCCCAGCCCCCGCAUGGGGAUGCUCAGCUGUGCUCCGACCUGGGGUGUGCCAGCAUCCUCGGCACAUAUGGGGUGACCCUAUGGGGUGUCAUUCCCCCCACAUCUGUACCCACAGUGGGAACAAGGAAGAAAAGUUACAGUUCCAGGGAGACAGCGCUGAGCACCCCAGCUCUCCGGGGGGGGGCUCUGUCACCUCUGGGCCCAUGGGCUGUGUGGGGGGCAAAGCACUUCCUACUCCCCCCUCAGUUUGAGCCCUCACAGCUCCCCUCUGCUGUCCUGCCCUAUUGCAGCCCCCCACCACAAUCCCUCCAGCUGAGGGCAAAUGGGGUGGGGGCCUACACCAGCCCCCCCAUUCCUGCCCCAAUACUCCACACCCCAGCUGCUUCUUAUAGGGUAGUGGAGCCCUGUGAAGCAGGGAGCCCUCCCCAUCCCAUUCUGCUUCUUCUUCACCCCCCCACUUUGGCCCCUCGCCCCCCCCAGGUCUCAGCACAUUGCAUUCCGAGGCUGGGGGGGGGAGGGGGAGGGUCAUGAUGCAGGGUCGGGGUGAUGAGAUGGGAUGGGGGGUGCUGGAUAGAGAGGAUGGGUGAUGCUGUGUUCAGGAUUCAGCGCUGAGGGGGGGGGGGGGGGUGCUCCAGGGUGUGGGAGGGACAUAGGGGUGCUGGGCAGGGGGAGGUGAUUAUGGGACCAUAGGAUCACAGAGUGGGGGUUCAGGAUGGGGAUGCUGGGGGGGGGU
ensembl:lncRNA